GAUGAACGCUGGCGGCGUGCCUAACACAUGCAAGUCGAGCGAAGCGGGGACGGGUGAGUAACACGUGGAUAACCUCCUAUAAGACUGGGAUAACUUCGGGAAACCGGAGCUAAACCGGAUACUUAUCGCAGGAUCCGCGCUGCAUUAGCUAGUGGGGAAGGUAACGGCUUACCAAGGCAACGAUGCAUAGCCGACCUGAGAGGGUGAUCGGCCACACUGGAACUGAGACACGGUCCAGACUCCUACGGGAGGCAGCAGUGGGGAAUGUUGCGCAAUGGGCGAAAGCCUGACGGAGCCACGCCGCGUGAGUGAUGAAGGCCUUCGGGUCGUAAAGCUCUUUUAUUAGGGAAGCGGUACCUACACAGAAAGCAACGGCUAACUACGUGCCAGCAGCCGCGGUAAUAC
rnacentral:rRNA from 1 species